rnacentral:rRNA from 1 species
AUACGUAGGGGGCGAGCGUUGUCCGGAGUUACUGGGCGUAAAGGGCGCGCAGGCGGCCAUUCAAGUCAUGGGUGAAAUACCGGGGCUUAACCUCGGGGGUGCCUGUGAAACUGGGUGGCUUGAGGGCCGGAGAGGUCAGUGGAAUUCCCGGUGUAGCGGUGAUAUGCGUAGAGAUCGGGAGGAACACCAGUGGCGAAGGCGACUGUCUGGACGGUACCUGACGCUCAGGCGCGAAAGCCCGGGGAGCAAACGGGAUUAGAUACCCCGGUAGUCCGGGCCGUAAACGAUGAGUGCUAGGUGUGGCGGGUAUCGACCCCCGCCGUGCCGGAGUUAACGCAAUAAGCACUCCGCCUGGGGAGUACGGCCGCAAGGCUGAA